rnacentral:rRNA from 1 species
GACGAACGCUGGCGGCGUGCCUAAUACAUGCAAGUCGAACGAGUGGCGGACGGGUGAGCAAUGUCUGGGAAACUGCCUGAUGGAGGGGGAUAACUACUGGAAACGGUAGCUAAUACCGCAUACCCUCAGAUGUGCCCAGAGGGGAUUGGCUUGUUGGUGGGGUAACUGCGCACCAAGGCGAAGAGCCCUAGCUGGUAUGAGAGGAUGACCAGCCACACGGGAACGGAGAACCGGUCCAGACUCCUACGGGAGGCAGUAGUGGGGAAUAUUGCACAAUGGGCGAAAGCCUGAUGCAGCCAUGCCUCGUGUAUGAAGAAGGCCUUCGGUGUGUAAAGUACUUUCAGCGGGGAGGCGUUACCCGCAGAAGAAGCACCGGCUAACUCCGUGCCAGCCGCGGCGGUAAUUC